GCAGGGGAGCUGUGUGGCGCAGCGUGGGCCCACCCCCAGCAGGAAGGGGCACGCUGGUAGCACAGGGCCCGGCAGACCAGUGUGCCCUGGCUCCGGUCGGGGCUGUGCACCUGUGUCUGUCUCUUCCCCCCCCGACCCGGUCGCCCAAAGUGUCCUGAUAUUUCACUCUUGGGAGCUGGUCACCCUAAGGGCGCUUGCUGCACGUCUGCCGGGAGAGCUCAGGAGCGAAAGCUGGGGCUGCCGAGAGCUGGGUGCCCCCGUCCUGUGGAGAGGCUGGAUGGACGUGGCUGGGGGAGGCCAGAGGGAUCCUCGCUGUGCUGCUACCAGGACAGUCAGAUGGACCUUUUCCCUCUCUCUUCGGGGGGCAGAAUGGACCCCUCUUCUCCAGCCAGCUGGGCUGCCGCCUUCCCCUCUGCCAUGCGUUCAUCAGGGAAACCAACGACUUCUGCGUGACGACCAGUGCUUGGGGCAUAGAUACCAGAUGUGGCAGCCGGAUCCCACCCCGGGCCAGGAUGUGUGUGUUAAAAGGCCCCAUCGUUGCAGUGGGCAGCAUGCCAAGGGUAUGAGUUGGCUCAGUGUGGUUACGUAAUGGAUUCGGCCACGGCACCUCCCCAUCCCAGGGCAGUCCCAUCAGAGAGCCUGAGAACCAGGAUUCCUGGCGUGACAUUCCCCUCCUGCAAGGACAGGGGGUGGAGCAGGGGGGAGUCGGGGCACGGCCAGGGGCAGAGGGGGGGGUCGAGCACCCACCGGCGCCAGCAGAAGUUGGCGCCUAUGCCAUCUUCAGGUGGGUUGGAACCAUCAGCCUUUCAGCUACCAGCCAAAGUUGAUAACCACAGACUCAGGUAACUGCCCACUUCCCAGGUUUCUUUCGGCAGCACCUACAGGGGUGCAACUGGCGAGGGCAGGGGGGAUGCACUGCUGGGGCUGUGAGUCCAGGCCUCGCCCACAGCAUCAGUGUUCAUAAGCCAUGUCACUCCCCCACUGACUUUCUCUCAUUCACCUAGAAAGUGUCAUACGAGGGUGAUGGCAAUAAAUUCUCAGCGCUGAACUGCGGAGGUUGGCCCCUAGAUUGGGAUCAGGAUGGGUCUGAAAAGAAAAAGCUCCAAGAGUAUAAAAACAGCCAGUCUCCAGGGGCAGUGUGGGCCGUUGAUGAUGGUUUGGAAGCUUGAUGGCUCCCACUGACUGGGACAAUGGCUUGUCAAUGGCUCUGGUCACCUGGUGCGGGCUAGCCCUGGAAGAAUGGAGACAAGGGGGCUCACAGGACAUGGGACAUGUCCGGAAGUCGCAGCCACAGGAAGUGCGGGCUGCUCUCAGGACGCCAUGAGGAGAAGGGUGGGGUGUGGUUUUUGGCCGAAGGUGACACCUUUUGGGAGCCCUGUGGAUGCGAUGGAGUGUCUGGAAUGGGGCGUGGGAAGGAGAAGAGCAAUAUGAAGAUGGCGUCUAAGAUGAGGCCAGGUGCCUUCUGUGGAGGGAGACAUGCUGGACAAUGCCAAGGAUUGGGGAGACAACCAGGUGUGAGCCCAGGGUGCAGAGAGCUGGGGGAGGGUGUCUGUGUCUGUAACACUUCCCUGUCCUCUCUCACAGAUGGAGUCCAAGAGGGGUAGGAAGGAGAGGACGAGCGCCCCAGUACUCAAGAAUAAUAAGGUGCAUCCUAGCUGGGCCCGGGGCUCUGCGGGGUUAAGACCAGUGGAAGGGACAAGAGUCUCCUGUGCAGAGUGACGAUUUUGGGUGCAGGUGCACUGGGAUGCUUCUAAUUGUAGCUCCCAGAACAUCAUGGGAAGGGGGUUCAGGGUAGAGCCCUGGGGUGUGGGAGAUGCGAAAAGAAGAGCCCCGCAAUCACGGCAGAGUGUGACGAUAACUUUUGUUUUUCCUUCUUGCGUUGUGUUUGGCACCAAGGGAAAAGAAGUCUGUGUGUGUGUCUUGAUGCCAGGCAAGACCUGUCCAGCUCACCCUCUCUCUCUUUUUACUGCCUCCUACCACAGGCCAUGGGCAGGAGAAGUGCGCAUUGAUCCCCACAGGCUUGGUCUCGAGAGCCUGCACCAUCUAGCAGGAGGGAAGAGAAUCAUAGCGGGUCCUGGAGGCGACAGUGGGGGAGGUGGGGUGACUGGCCACGCAGCCCGUUGGCUCUGUCUCUUUUCAUCGCGUGGGGCUGCUCCAGAGCAUGUGGGAGACGGAGGGAGGCCGAGCUCUCGCGCACCGGUAGAGCUGUGGGCAGGGCUGCCUCGCUCGUCGGUUAUUUCCUGCGCUUGCAGAUGAGUCGCCCAGGAGCCCAAGGCAGAGGAGAAGCUGGAAGAAGUGGAGCUGAGCAGGCUGGACAUCCCGGUAAGCAGAGAUGAACAGUCCUGAGCUUUCUGCCUUUCCCACACUGGGUGUGAGUCAGCGGUGACGGCGCUCUCUUCCUCAGCUCUUCCCAGGGGAAAGAAGUCAUGAGGACGGAGUCCAGCCCCGAGGUGAGAUGGAAAGUGAGCGAGAGCAGUGACAGCGUGAAUCCUGUUGAAGCCAGGCAAGACCUGUCCAGCUGGGAGCGAAGCAGCUGUCGCUGUGAGUGAGGAAGAGAAGGAGGAGGCUGCAGGAUGGUGAUGGAGAGAAAAUCAACACUGCAGGAGCAGGAGAAGGUAAAGACCAGGAGAAUCCAGAAGCCAAGUCACCAGAGAGGUACAGGGAACCUCUCUGCAACCUCCCCAAAACUCUCAUUUGAAGAGGGGUGUGGACUGUGGAAUAUGUAGCUUUCUCCCAAAAAACAUAAAGAAAUAGCUUUGAGCUCUGA